rnacentral:rRNA from 1 species
UAGGGAAUCUUCCACAAUGGGCGCAAGCCUGAUGGAGCAACACCGCGUGAGUGAAGAAGGGUUUCGGCUCGUAAAGCUCUGUUGUUAAAGAAGAACACGUAUGAGAGUAACUGUUCCUACGUUGACGGUAUUUAACCAGAAAGUCACGGCUAACUACGUGCCAG